CGCGCCGGGGAGGGGAGACAGGCGGGGAGCGCGCGCCUGGGCUCGCCGCCUCCUGCCUUCGACCCCGGAACCCUUCCGCAGAGCGACGGUUGAGGCUCGAGAAUCAGAAAGUGGUGAUAAAUGCUGACAUCCUGGUUCUCCGUACGUCAGUGGAAGGAAAGGUGUUACUUGACACUUAAUGAAGGGACUUAAUGAGUCCAUUGUUUCCCCAUGACUGAAGUUUGUAACACGGAGCCAAUAGUGUUCCGCCAUAACAACUCCCUCUGAGGCCUUUUUGUUCUGGCUCUGAUAUACCAACUACUGCACUGUACUUCCACGUUCACCAAAUGCAGUGCCUGGCAAGAGCAAAUGUUGAAUGAAUUAACGUCUACCACGACUCUUCAAGAGCAGAGGACUUCAAGUAGAGACUGCCUGCUGAAACGGGCUGCAAACUGAAGACCUCACAAGCCUUAUCAUCUGAAUCUGUGGUUCUCAUUCCUUGUUGCACAUUCACACCACCUGGAUAUCUUUCACAAAAUAUGUAAACCCUAAAGACUCCCUCAGGUAUUCUAAUUCAACUGAUCUCAUUUAGAUUCAGGCUAUUCUGUAAGUUUAUUCUAUCUUUCAUUAGCCUGCUUCCGAAGAAGACAAUAACAAAUGAAUUUUUCAGAACCACCUGUUCCUGUGCCGGGCCCUCCAGUUGGCGCCACUCACAAACAUCUCGUGACAUAACCACUUUUAAGAGUCUUCUUUACAGUCCGACAUAAAAGAAGAAGGAACAAAGGGAAUUUUUCAUGGCAUCAGGAUCAAAACUGCCGCUGUUGUACAAGAGCUCAGUUUUUCAUACUGGUCACUCCAGUUUUGGGCCACCAAGACAACUCCAGAAACAUCUCUAGCACACAAAGACAGCAUCAGGCCAGUUUUCACUAGGAUGUUCAUUCGAGUACUGCACCCCCCCCCCAUUGAAACUGACUCUAAUCAAGCCUCUAGAUAUAACUAACAUUCUAUAGAAAUUGUGAGUCAUAAAGGAAUAUCACAAACAACACCAGGAGGAUGCAAUCAGCCAAAUCCAAAAUGUGGGAACUUCUACAGGGCAAAUAACCAAUUCCAAAAAAUAGCUAAGGGGAACUGGUAUAAAUCAAAAGAGACAUAAGAGCUAUCUCCACAACCUGUAAUACGCAUACCUUGUUUGGAUCUGGAUUCAAACAAAGAAAUGUAAAAAAACCUCUUGAGACAAUUAGGGGAAAUUUAGUCCAAAUUGGAUAUCAAAUGAUACCAAGAAUUUUUUGUUGAU